rnacentral:rRNA from 1 species
UACAGAGGGUGCAAGCGCUAAUCGGAAUUACUGGGCGUAAAGCGUGUGUAGGUGGUUAGAUAAGUUAGAUGUGAAAUCCCCGGGCUUAACCUGGGCACUGCGUUUAAGACUGUUUAACUAGAGUACUGUAGAGGAUAGUGGAAUUUCCAGUGUAGCGGUGAAAUGCGUAGAUAUUGGAAGGAACACCAGUGGCGAAGGCGACUAUCUGGACAGAUACUGACACUGAGACACGAAAGCGUGGGGAGCAAACAGG